rnacentral:rRNA from 1 species
UGAGCCUACGGGGGGCAGCAGUAGGGAAUAUUGCUCAAUGGGGGAAACCCUGAAGCAGCAACGCCGCGUGGAGGAUGAAGGUUUUCGGAUUGUAAACUCCUUUUGUUAGAGAAGAUAAUGACGGUAUCUAACGAAUAAGCACCGGCUAACUCCGUGCCAGCAGCCGCGGUAAUACGGAGGGUGCAAGCGUUACUCGGAAUAACUGGGCGUAAAGAGCGCGUAGGCGGGAUAGCCAGUAAGAAGUGAAAACCUAUGGCUUAACCAUAGAACUGCAUUUGAAACUGUUAUUCUAGAGUAAGGGAGAG